rnacentral:rRNA from 1 species
UACGUAGGGCGCAAGCGUAUCCGGAAUUAUUGGGCGUAAAGAGCUCGUAGGCGGUUUUGUCGCGUCUGCCUGUGAAAACCUAAGGCUCAACCUUGGGCUUGCAGUGGGUACGGGCAGACUAGAGUGCGGUAGGGGUGACUGGAAUUCCUGGUGUAGCGGUGGAAUGCGCAGAUAUCAGGAGGAACACCGAUGGCGAAGGCAGGUCACUGGGCCGCAACUGACG